GGGAUGAGCACUGGGUGUUGCAUGGAAAACAAUUUGACAAUAAAUUAUAUUUAAUAUAAAAAAUGUGUCCACUUCACAGGUGUCAGAUUUACAUAUUAUUGUUCUAUUAACUUGCAGAAACUUCUUGAGGUAUUUUCCUUUACAACAUUAAUUUGUUUGCAAAAACAGUUUGAGGUUCCUAGAAAACAUGUAAUUAAAUAUUAUUUUAACAACAUUAUUUUACCUAAGAAUGCUGAUUUGAAUUUACUAUUUAAUAUGGCAUUAUAGUUAAUAUCAAAGUAUUCUGCACAUUAUUUGUUUACCCUUGCACAAUCUAGUUUCAUUCAAUUUUAAAAACAGUUGUUAUGGUUUUGUUGAUUUACUCAUAAUGAUGUCUCCAUUUGUUCUUGAGUGAUUACAACUGAUUUGGAAUCCAUAUGUGUCUACAAAUAAUUUAAAAUUUUCUGCCAUUGCGUAUUUAUGUUCAUGUGUACUCAAUUGUAUAUUUUAUUCUAUUGUCUGAUUAACAUUAAGGCUUUCCUGGAAGCUGUGAUAUCUUCUCAACUUUGCCUCAACUAAAUUGCUUGGUGCUAUCAAUAAUUAUUUUUUAUUUGAAAUGUUUCUUAAAAACAAAGCAUAUUAAUUGUCUUUGUGGCAAUUUUUCUAUCAUCAGACACCUUACUACUGAUGUUUUCCCAUCACAAAACACAGAUAUCACACCUUUAUCUUUAACAAAUUAAGAGCUGAUUUGGAAUGAAAUUGAAAGUUUAUAACUAUACAUCUCCUGGCAACUUAUGGUACCAUGUAGAAGAAUAUAGAAGAAAUACUACUGAAUAUCAUUGUAUAACUACGACAUUAAGGGUUUUUGAAUGAACGUGAGUCAUAGGUCAGGUCAAGUAUGCAGUUCAGUUCAAACAUUGUCCAAAAUAUUGGUUGAACAAAUAAGUGAAUAAAUAUUGAAUGUAAUGUGAGCUAUCCCCAUUCAUAAAUUAACCAUGGAUCUCAUUGAAUUGAGAAGAAAUAGAUCAUCGGAAAAUACUGUAUAAUAAAUAUGUGAUUAUAUUCACUAUUACACAACCUGGUUGUCUUUCUUAAUUAAAAGUUUGUCUUAAUUAAUUUAAAA